ACGAACGCUGGCGGCAGGCCUAACACAUGCAAGUCGAGCGGAUGAGAGGAGCUUGCUCCUCGAUUCAGCGGCGGACGGGUGAGUAAUGCCUAGGAAUCUGCCUAGUAGUGGGGGACAACGUUUCGAAAGGAACGCUAAUACCGCAUACGUCCUACGGGAGAAAGUGGGGGAUCUUCGGACCUCACGCUAUUAGAUGAGCCUAGGUCGGAUUAGCUAGUUGGUAGGGUAAAGGCCUACCAAGGCGACGAUCCGUAACUGGUCUGAGAGGAUGAUCAGUCACACUGGAACUGAGACACGGUCCACGA
rnacentral:rRNA from 1 species